rnacentral:rRNA from 1 species
UACGUAGGUGGCAAGCGUUUGUCCGGAUUUACUGGGCGUAAAGAGCGCGCAGGCGGUCGUUCAAGUCGCGUGUGAAAGCCCCCGGCUCAACUGGGGAGGGUCACGCGAUACUGAUCGACUGGAAGGCAGGAGAGGGUAGUGGAAUUCCCGGUGUAGUGGUGAAAUGCGUAGAUAUCGGGAGGAACACCAGUGGCGAAGGCGACUACCUGGCCUGUUCUUGACGCUGAGGCGCGAAAGCUAGGGGAGCAAACGGG